rnacentral:rRNA from 1 species
AUUGAACGCUGGCGGCAGGCCUAACACAUGCAAGUCGAACGCGUGGCGGACGGGUGAGUAAUGUCUGGGAAACUGCCUGAUGGAGGGGGAUAACUACUGGAAACGGUAGCUAAUACCGCAUACCAUCAGAUGUGCCCCGAUGGGAUUAGCUAGUGGGUGGGGUAACUGCUCACCAAGCCGACUAUCCAUAGCUGGUCUGAGAGGAUGACCAGCCACACUGGAACUGAGACACGGUCCAGAGGCCUACGUGAGGCAGCAGGGGGGAAUAGGGCACAAUGGGCGCAAGCCUGAUGCAGCCAUGCCGCGUGUAGGAAGAAGGCCUUCGGGUUGUAAAGUACUUUCAGCGGGGAGGCGUUACCCGCAGAAGAAGCACCGGCGAACUCCGUGCCAGCCGCCGCGGUAAUAC